rnacentral:rRNA from 1 species
CAGCGCCACGAGUGGGGAUCCUGUUUAUUUGGCCUAAAGCGUCCGUAGCUGGUUUAGUAAAUCUCUUGUGAAAUCGUUAGGCUUAACCUAACGGCGUGCAGGAGAGACUGCUAGGCUAGGGACUGGGAGGAGUCAGAGGUAUGCUUGGGGGAGCGGUAAAAUGCUAUAAUCCUGAGUAGACCACCUGUGGCGAAGGCGUCUGACUAGAACAGGUCCGACAGUGAGGGACGAAAGCCAGGGGAGCAAACCGGAUUAGAUACCCGAGUAGUCC